CCUACGGGUGGCAGCAGUGAGGAAUAUUGGUCAAUGGACGAGAGCCUGAACCAGCCAAGCCGCGUGAAGGAUGACUGCCCUUUGGGUUGUAAACUUCUUUGAUAAAGGACUAAAAUGAGGUACGUGUGCCUAUAUGUAUGUACUUAAUGAAUAAGGAUCGGUCAACUCCGUGCAAGAAGCCGCGGUAAUAAGGAGGAUCCGAGCGUUAUCCGGAUUUAUUGGGUUUUAAGUGAGCGUAGAUGGGUGGUAACGUCAGUUGUGAAAGUUUGCGGCUCAAACGUAAAAUUGCAAUUGAUACUGGCAGUCUUGAGUGCAGAUGAGGUAGGCGGAAUUCGUGGUGUAGCGGUGAAAUGCUUAGAUAUCACGAAGAACCCCGAUUGCGAAGGCAGCUUACUAAACUGUGACUGACGUUGAUGCUCGAAAGUGUGGGUAUCAAACAGGAUUAGAUACCCGUGUAGUC
rnacentral:rRNA from 1 species